AGAGUUUGAUCCUGGCUCAGGACGAACGCUGGCGGCGUGCUUAACACAUGCAAGUCAAGGAGAACGGUGCCUUCUGAAAGUUAUUAAACUGGCGAACGGGUGAGUAACGCGUAGGCAACCUGCCUUGGAGAUUGGGAUAACUCCGGGAAACCGGUGCUAAAACCGAAUAAUGCAGCGUAUCCUUCGGGAUACAGUUGUUAAAGCGGGCUUCGGCUCGCACUUUAGGAUAGGCCUGCGUCUGAUUAGCUUGUUGGUAAGGUAACGGCUUACCAAGGCGACGAUCAGUAGCUGGUUCGAGAGGAUGAUCAGCCACACUGGGACUGAGAUACGGCCCAGACUCCUACGGGAGGCAGCAGUGAGGAAUUUUGCACAAUGGGGGAAACCCUGAUGCAGCGACGCCGCGUGUACGAUGAAGCUUCUAGGAGCGUAAAGGUCUGUCGUAAGGGAAGAAAAGUUUGGAUGUAAAUAAUGUUCGAACCUGACGGUACCUUACAAGAAAGGGCCGGCUAACUACGUGCCAGCAGCCGCGGUAAUACGUAGGGUCCGAGCGUUGUCCGGAAUCACUGGGUGUAAAGGGUCCGCAGGCGUCCCAAAAAGUCAUUUGUUAAAUACACCGGCUUAACCGGUGGCCUGCAUUUGAAACUGUUGAGCUAGAGUAUGGGAGAGGGAAGUGGAAUUUCCGGUGUAGCGGUGAAAUGCGUAGAUAUCGGAAGGAACACCAGUGGCGAAGGCGGCUUCCUGGCCCAACAUUGACGCUGAGGUGCGAAAGCGUGGGUAGCGAACAGGAUUAGAUACCCUGGUAGUCCACGCCGUAAACGAUGAGAACUAGAUGUCGGGAGGGUUUUGCCUCUCGGUGUCGCAGCUAACGCGUUAAGUUCUCCGCCUGGGGAGUACGGUGGCAACACUAAAACUCAAAGGAAUUGACGGGGACCCGCACAAGCGGUGGAGCAUGUGGUUUAAUUCGAUGCAACGCGAAGAACCUUACCUGCCCUUGACAUUGACAGAACCCUUUAGAGAUAGAGGGGUGCUUCGGCCUGGAAAACAGGUGCUGCAUGGCUGUCGUCAGCUCGUGUCGUGAGAUGUUGGGUUAAGUCCCGCAACGAGCGCAACCCUUGUCCCUAGUUGCUAACAUUUAGUUGAGAACUCUAGGGAGACCGCCGGUGACAAACCGGAGGAAGGUGGGGACGACGUCAAGUCAUCAUGGCCCUUAUGGGCAGGGCUACACACGUGCUACAAUGGCCGGUACAGAGGGUUGCCAACCCGCGAGGGGGAGCUAAUCCCAGAAAGCCGGUCGUAGUCCGGAUUGGAGUCUGCAACUCGACUCCAUGAAGUCGGAAUCGCUAGUAAUCGCGAAUCAGCAUUGUCGCGGUGAAUACGUUCCCGGGUCUUGUACACACCGCCCGUCACACCAUGGAAGUAGGUUGCACCAGAAGUAGGUAGUCUAACCCUCGGGAGGACGCUUACCACGGUGUGGCUUAUGACUGGGGUGAAGUCGUAACAAGGUAACC
rnacentral:rRNA from 1 species